rnacentral:rRNA from 1 species
GUGUCAGCAGCCGCGGUAAUACGUAGGGUGCAGGCGUUAAUCGGAAUUACUGGGCGUAAAGCGUGCGCAGGCGGUUUGCUAAGACAGAUGUGAAAUCCCCGGGCUUAACCUGGGAACUGCGUUUGUAACUGGCAAGCUAGAGUGUGGCAGAGGGGGGUGGAAUUCCAAGUGUAGCAGUGAAAUGCGUAGAUAUUUGGAGGAACACCGAUGGCGAAGGCAGCCCCCUGGGCUAACACUGACGCUCAUGCACGAAAGCGUGGGGAGCAAACAGGAUUAGAAACCCUCGUAGUCC